ensembl:snRNA U2 U2 spliceosomal RNA
AUCACUUCUCGGCCUUUUGGCUAAGAUCAAGGGCAGUAUCUGUUCUUAUCAGUUUAAAGUACUAAUUUUAAAGUUCCCCACAUGACUCCAUUACAGAGCCAGGGUUCACCAACAACUGCCCUAGACCAGCAGUCCUUAAACUCUUGGAUCUCAAGACCUCUUUUUACUCUUAAAUAUGAUUAAGAUCACAA